rnacentral:tRNA from 1 species
UGGGUUGUAGCUCAGUGGUAGAGCACUUGCUUAGCACAUGUGAGACACUGGGUUCAACCCUCAGCAUCACAU